GGCUCACCCACCAACUACAAAACCUACAACACAAAACACAAAACCCGAUGUGGCAUAAGGUAGAACAAAUUUGCACAUCAACAACACCAACCAAAAAACUCAUGUCCAUGAUAUAUGCAUCAGAACAUAUCCUGACUCCCAAACAGCCCUCCUCCUUCAUAUCAGCAUGGGAAAAAGACGUAGGCCACCCUUUAUCUGAAACCCAGUGGCUAGAUAUCUUUAAAGCGCACAAAUCACUAACCCUAUGCACAACUCACAUUGAACUAUCCCGCAAAUUGCUGUACAGAUGGUACCUAGUCCCCACGCGCCUCAAACACAGUUUUCCCAACACAUCAGAUAUCUGUUGGAGAAGCCAAAAAGAACGAGGCACAAUGAUUCACAUAUGGUGGCAAUGUCCAGCACUCCAACAAUACUGGCAACAGGUGGCAGACCUGGUGACACACUGCUCCGACACUAGACUACCACAGGCGCCCGAAACAUACGUGCUUCUACAUCUGCCACACACACAAACACCACAAAAAUAUCAAAAAUACCUAGCAUACCACAUCAUUAUAGCUGCCCUAACUGUCAUAAGCAGAAACUGGAAAAAAAACACUUCCCCCACAAUCGCCCAAUGCAUAGCGGUGAUAGAAACAAACAGAAGCUAUGAAAAGAUGGCGCGGGAAAAUAGACAAGCGAAUCCUCACUGGACCAAAGCAUGGGACACGUGGGACAUGAAAAAACCCAAAUAGAUAUAAACAGAAAAAUCAUCGAAAAUAACAUGGACCUCCCCGACCGGAGGCGACAUAACAUCC